rnacentral:rRNA from 1 species
GACAGAGGUGCCGAGCGUUAGGCGGAAUCACUGGGCUUAAAGCGCGUGUAGGCGGACCGUUAAGUGCCUCGUGAAAUCCCCCGGCUCAACCGGGGAACGGCGGGGCAUACUGGCGGUCUUGGGCCACCUAGGGGUCAUCGGAACAGGCGGUGGAGCGGUGAAAUGCGUAGAUAUCGCCUGGAACGCCGACGGUGAAAACAGAUGACUGGGGGUGUGCCGACGCUGAGACGCGAAAGCCAGGGGGAGCCGAACGGGG